CCCUUAGAUGUUCUGGGCCGCACGCGCGCUACACUGAAUGGAUCAACGUGUUUUCCCUUCCCGAGAGGGACGGGUAACCCGCUGAACCCCAUUCGUGGUAGGGAUCGGAGCUUGCAAUUGUUCUCCGUGAACCAGGAAUUCCCAGUAAGCGCAAGUCAUAAGCUUGCGUUGAUUACGUCCCUGCCCUUUGUACACACCGCCCGUCGCUCCUACCGAUUUCGAGUGGUUCGGUGAACCUUUCGGACCGGCAAUGCCUCGUGUUGCGCCGGAAAGUCAAGUAAACCAUAUCACUUAGAGGAAGGAGAAGUCGUAACA
rnacentral:rRNA from 1 species